GGGCCCGCACAAGCAGUGGAGCAUGUGGUUUAAUUCGAUGCAACGCGAAGAACCUUACCCAGACUUGACAUGCAGUAGACCGCACUAGAAAUAGUGCUUUCCUUCGGGACUGCUGUACAGGUGCUGCAUGGCUGUCGUCAGCUCGUGCCGUGAGGUGUUGGGUUAAGUCCCGCAACGAGCGCAACCCUUAUCGUUAGUUGCCAGCAUUUAAGGUGGGAACUCUAACGAGACUGCCUGGGUUAACCAGGAGGAAGGUGAGGAUGACGUCAAGUCCGCAUGGCCCUUAUGUCUGGGGCUACACACGUGCUACAAUGGUCGGUACAAAAGGCAGCGAAGCCGCGAGGUGGAGCAAAUCCUAUAAAACCGAUCUCAGUUCGGAUUGGAGUCUGCAACUCGGCUCCAUGAAGCCGGAAUUGCUAGUAA
rnacentral:rRNA from 1 species